rnacentral:rRNA from 1 species
GAUGAACGCUGGCGGCGUGCCUAAUACAUGCAAGUCGAGCGAAUGGAUUAAGAGCUUGCUCUUAUGAAGUUAGCGGCGGACGGGUGAGUAACACGUGGGUAACCUGCCCAUAAGACUGGGAUAACUCCGGGAAACCGGGGCUAAUACCGGAUAACAUUUUGAACCGCAUGGUUCGAAAUUGAAAGGCGGCUUCGGCUGUCACUUAUGGAUGGACCCGCGUCGCAUUAGCUAGUUGGUGAGGUAACGGCUCACCAAGGCAACGAUGUGUAGCCGACCUGGGAGGGUGAGCGGCCACACUGGGACUGAGACACGGGCCAGACUCCUACGGGAGGCAGCAGUAGGGAAUCUUCCGCAAUGGACGAAAGUCUGACGGAGCAACGCCGCGUGAGUGAUGAAGGCUUUCGGGUCGUAAAACUCUGUUGUUAGGGAAGAACAAGUGCUAGUUGAAUAAGCUGACACCUUGACGGUACCUAACCAGAAAGCCACGGCUAACUACGUGCCAGCAGCCGCGGUAA